rnacentral:rRNA from 1 species
CCCAAGGAUGGGGCCGCGGCCGAUCAGGUUGUUGGUGAGGUAACGGCUCACCAAGCCUUUAACCGGUGCGGGCCGUGGGAGCGGGAGCCCGGAGAUGGGCACUGAGACAAGGGCCCAGGCCCUACGGGGCGCAGCAGUCGCGAAAACUUCGCAAUAAGCGAAAGCUUGACGGGGCUAUCCCGAGUGCCAUCCGCUGAGGAUGGCUUUUCCCUAGUAUAGAUAGCUGGGGGAAAAAGGAGAGGGCAAGUCUGGUGUCAGCCGCCGCGGUAAUACCAGCUCUCCGAGUGGUGGGGAUGAUUAUUGGGCCUAAAGCAUCCGUAGCCGGCUGGGCAAGUCCCCUGUUAAACCCAGCGAUCUAAUCGUUGGCCUGCGGGGGAUACUGCUUGGCUAGGGGGCGAGAGAGGCCGUCGGUAUUCCCGGGGUAGGGGUGAAAUCCUAUAAUCCCGGGAGGACCACCAGUGGCGAAGGCUGUCGGCUAGAACGCGCCCGACGGUGAGGGAUGAAAGCUGGGGGAGCGAACCGGAUUAGAUACCCGGGUAGUCCCAGCUGUAAACGAU